GACGAACGCUGGCGGCGUGCUUAACACAUGCGAGUCGAACGGAAAGGCCCUGCUUUUGUGGGGUGCUCGAGUGGCGAACGGGUGAGUAACACGUGAGUAACCUGCCCUUGACUUUGGGAUAACUUCAGGAAACUGGGGCUAAUACCGGAUAGGAGCUCCUGCUGCAUGGUGGGGGUUGGAAAGUUUCGGCGGUUGGGGAUGGACUCGCGGCUUAUCAGCUUGUUGGUGGGGUAGUGGCUUACCAAGGCUUUGACGGGUAGCCGGCCUGAGAGGGUGACCGGCCACAUUGGGACUGCGAUACUGCCCAGACUCCUACGGGAGGCAGCAGUGGGGAAUAUUGCACAAUGGGCGGAAGCCUGAUGCAGCAACGCCGCGUGCGGGAUGACGGCCUUCGGGUUGUGAACCGCUUUCGCCUGUGACGAAGCGUGAGUGACGGUAAUGGGUAAAGAAGCACCGGCUAACUACGUG
rnacentral:rRNA from 1 species